CCAAACACCGCGCCGCGCUGCGCGAGCCGCGCCUGACGCUCCGCCGCCGCCGCCGCCGAGCCCAGCGCGCCUGUGCCUGCGCGGCCCCCGCCGCCGCGGCCGAGCGAUGCUGCUGCUGGCGGCCGCCUUCCUCGUGGCCUUCGUGCUGCUGCUCUACAUGGUGUCUCCGCUCAUCAGCCCCAAGCCCCUCGCCCUGCCUGGGGCGCAUGUGGUGGUUACAGGAGGUUCUAGUGGCAUUGGGAAGUGCAUUGCUAUUGAGUGCUAUAAACAAGGAGCAUUUAUUACUCUGGUUGCACGAAAUGAGGACAAGCUGCUGCAGGCAAAGAAGGAAAUUGAAAAGCACUCUAUCAAUGAUAAACAGGUGGUGCUUUGUAUAUCAGUUGAUGUGUGUCAAGACUAUAACCAAGUAGAAAAUGUCAUAAAACAAGCACAGGAGAAACUGGGUCCAGUGGACAUGCUUGUAAACUGUGCAGGAAUGUCACUGUCGGGAAAAUUUGAAGAUCUUGAAGUUAGUACUUUUGAAAGAUUAAUGAGCAUCAAUUACCUGGGGAGUGUGUACCCCAGCCGAGCCGUGAUCACCACCAUGAAGGAGCGCCGGGUGGGCAGGAUCGUGUUUGUGUCCUCCCAGGCGGGACAGCUGGGACUAUUCGGCUUCACGGCCUACUCUUCAUCCAAGUUUGCCUUAAGGGGAUUGGCUGAAGCUUUGCAGAUGGAGGUGAAGCCGUAUAACGUGUACGUCACAGUUGCCUACCCGCCAGACACGGACACCCCGGGGUUGGCUGAAGAAAACAAAACAAAGCCUUUGGAGACUCGACUCAUUUCAGAGACCUCAUCUGUUUGCAAACCAGAACAGGUGGCCAAACAAAUUGUUAAAGAUGCCAUACAAGGAAAUUUUAACAGUUCCAUUGGCUCAGAUGGGUACAUGCUCUCGGCCCUGACCUGUGGGAUGGCUCCAGUAACUUCUAUUACUGAAGGGCUUCAGCAGGUGGUCACCAUGGGCCUUUUCCGCACCAUUGCUUUGUUUUACCUUGGAAGUUUCGAUAGCAUAGUUCGCCGCUGCAUGAUGCAGAAAGAAAAAUCUGAAAUCACAGAUAAAACUGCCUAAGUCCUACCCCUUGGAAGAAGACUGUUUCCAAAUAAUUUGAACAUCUUGCUGCUAAAUGGGACCCAAUUUUUGGCCUACAGACCCUUAUGUAUUGUUUUUGAAUAUGUGAGAUUGGACCGGUGCUCUUCAGAAAUCUGGCUGCAUGCAAGGAGAUAGAAGCUCAACUCCAGACAAUAUUAUCAAUACUAUGCAAACAUGGAAUAGGAGACCAUUUGAUCUUCUGGGCUCUGAGAUGGAGAGGUGAUGGUGUGAGAACUAGUAGCAUGUGAACAAGUUUCAAUCCAACAAGAGCAGCAUGCAUUUGAAAUAUAGAAGACAAGUUCCUACGCUUAGUUUAUUUCACUUUAAACGCCAAGUUACUAAUUUGAAAGGAAGAAAAAUCAUCACAAGUAAGUUUCCUAUGCUUUCCAUUG